AGAACUUCCAUACUGGGAAACCAGAACGCUUCCAACAUGCCACCGUGUCAAGCCCCACGCUUCAUAUGGACAUCAGAUAAAGUCAUUUCUGACAGACAGCAAGCAAACGAGGUGCACCUUCGACUGCUCCAGCUUGCUAAAGAAUUUCCUGGUUAAGAAAAGAAGCAAAAUACUUUACAAAAACAAAAACAUGAGGAAUUCACCACCAGAUCAUCAUCACAGAAGAAAUGGUUAAAGGAAGUCCUUCAGAAGAAGCAAAAUGAUACUGGAUAGAUGGAAGUAUCUAUUAAUAUCUGCAAUGGAACGAAGAGCACUGAAAAUAGUACUA